AUUGAACGCUGGCGGCACGCCUAACACAUGCAAGUCGAGCGGCAGCGAGAGUAGUAGCAAUACUACUUGUCGGCGAGCGGCGGACGGGUGAGGAACACGUAGGAAUCUACCCAGAAGAGGGGGAUAACCAAGGGAAACUUUGGCUAAUACCGCAUAAUCUCGAGAGAGGAAAAGCUGCCCGCAAGGGUGGCGCUUUUGGAGGAGCCUGCGUCCGAUUAGCUAGUUGGUAGGGUAAAGGCCUACCAAGGGGAUGAUCGGUAACUGGUCUGAGGGGACGACCAGUAACCCGGGGACUGAGACACGGCCAGACUCGUACGGGAGGCAGCAGUGGGGAAUAUUGGACAAUGGGGGCAACCCUGAUCCAGCGAUGCCGCGUGAGUGAAGAAGGCCUUCGGGUCGUAAAGCUCUUUAGGUUGGGAAGAAGGGUGCGAGGGUAAUAUCCUUGUACUUUGACGGUACCAACAGAAUAAGCACCGGCAAACUCUGUGCCAGCCGCCGCCGUAA
rnacentral:rRNA from 1 species